rnacentral:rRNA from 1 species
CAUGCAAGUCGAGGGGAAACGACAUCGAAAGCUUGCUUUUGAUGGGCGUCGACCGGCGCACGGGUGAGUAACGCGUAUCCAACCUGCCCAUCACUUGGGGAUAACCUUGCGAAAGUAAGACUAAUACCCAAUGACGUCUCUAGAAGACAUCUGAAAGAGAUUAAAGAUUUAUCGGUGAUGGAUGGGGGUGCGUCUGAUUAGCUUGUUGGCGGGGUAACGGCCCACCAAGGCGACGAUCAGUAGGGGUUCUGAGAGGAAGGUCCCCCACAUUGGAACUGAGACACGGUCCAAACUCCUACGGGAGGCAGCAGUGAGGAAUAUUGGUCAAUGGACGAGAGUCUGAACCAGCCAAGUAGCGUGCAGGAUGACGGCCCUAUGGGUUGUAAACUGCUUUUAUAAGGGAAUAAAGUUAGUCUCGUGAGACUUUUUGCAUGUACCUUAUGAAUAAGGACCGGCUAAUUCCGUGCCAGCAGCCGCGGUAAUACGGAAGGUCCGGGCGUUAUCCGGAUUUAUUGGGUUUAAAGGGAGCGUAGGCCGGAGAUUAAGCGUGUUGUGAAAUGUAGACGCUCAACGUCUGCACUGCAGCGCGAACUGGUUUCCUUGAGUACGCACAAAGUGGGCGGAAUUCGUGGUGUAGCGGUGAAAUGCUUAGAUAUCACGAAGAACUCCGAUUGCGAAGGCAGCUCACUGGAGCGCAACUGACGCUGAAGCUCGAAAGUGCGGGUAUCGAACAGGAUUAGAUACCCUGGUAGUCCGCACGGUAAACGAUGGAUGCCCGCUGUUGGUCUGAAUAGGUCAGCGGCCAAGCGAAAGCAUUAAGCAU